GCCCAGGCCCUACGGGGCGCAGCAGUCGCGAAAACUUUGCAAUAAGCGAAAGCUUGACAGGGCUAUCCCGAGUGCCAUCCGCUGAGGAAGGCUUUUACCCAGUCUAGAACGCUGGGGGAAUAAGGAGAGGGCAAGUCUGGUGUCAGCCGCCGCGGUAAUACCAGCUCUCCGAGUGGUGUGGAUGUUUAUUGGGCCUAAAGCAUCCGUAGCUGGCUAAGUUAGUCCCUUGUUAAAUCCACCGAAUUAAUCGUUGGAUUGCGGGGGAUACUGCUUGGCUAGGGGACGAGAGAGGCAGACGGUAUUUUCGGGGUAGGGGUGAAAUCCUAUAAUCCCGGGAAGACCACCAGUGGCGAAGGCUGUCUGCUAGAACGCGCCCGACGGUGAGGGAUGAAAGCUGGGGGAGCGAACCGGAUUAGAUACCCGGGUAGUCCCAGCUGUAAACGAUGCAAACUAGGUGUUUGAACGGCCACGUGCCGUUCUAGUGCCGCAGGGAAGCUGUUAAGUUUGCCGCCUGGGGAGUACGAUCGCAAGAUUGAAACUUAA
rnacentral:rRNA from 1 species